GGUGACCGCUGGGAUUAAAAGGCUGUGAGCCACAGAAACACACCGUAUUGAGAGGUGACCGCUGGGAUUAAAAGGCUGUGAGCCACAGAAACACACCGUAUUGAGAGGUGACCGCUGGGAUUAAAAGGCUGUGAGCCACAGAAACACACCGUAUUGAGAGGUGACCGCUGGGAUUAAAAGGCUGUGAGCCACAGAAACACACCGUAUUGAGAGGUGACCGCUGGGAUUAAAAGGCUGUGAGCCACAGAAACACACCGUAUUGAGAGGUGACCGCUGGGAUUAAAAGGCUGUGAGCCACAGAAACACACCGUAUUGAGAGGUGACCGCUGGGAUUAAAAGGCUGUGAGCCACAGAAACACACCGUAUUGAGAGGUGACCGCUGGGAUUAAAAGACUGUCUGCUAACUAGUGGUCUCUGAUGUCAUUUAAACACAGUUGUGGAUUUAAAACAUUCAAUUGAGUCGUUGUUCUAUUAAAAAAAA